AGAGUUUGAUCCUGGCUCAGAUUGAACGCUGGCGGCAUGCCUUACACAUGCAAGUCGAACGGCAGCACGGGAGCAAUCCUGGUGGCGAGUGGCGAACGGGUGAGUAAUAUAUCGGAACGUGCCCAGUCGUGGGGGAUAACGCAGCGAAAGCUGUGCUAAUACCGCAUACGAUCCAAGGAUGAAAGCGGGGGAUCGCAAGACCUCGCGCGAUUGGAGCGGCCGAUAUCAGAUUAGCUAGUUGGUGGGGUAAAGGCUCACCAAGGCGACGAUCUGUAGCUGGUCUGAGAGGACGACCAGCCACACUGGAACUGAGACACGGUCCAGACUCCUACGGGAGGCAGCAGUGGGGAAUUUUGGACAAUGGGCGCAAGCCUGAUCCAGCAAUGCCGCGUGCAGGAUGAAGGCCUUCGGGUUGUAAACUGCUUUUGUACGGAACGAAACGGUCUGCCC
rnacentral:rRNA from 1 species